AUGCCAAAGCAAAGGGCCGUAACUCGAUCUUCUCUAUUUUUUAUAUGUCUCUGACGUCAUGCGUAUUUUAGGCAUGAGGGUUGUUGUCUUUUACGGCUUACAACUCGAAGAAAACGUACGAUAUAUUCCGAAUGUUAAAGGAACCAGUUUACGAAAUGAUCCAAGCGCAUGCCUUUCUCUCUACUUCUGGAGAAACACGUGUUUUUAUCAAAGAAAAAUAAGCUGAAAGAGAGCGACAUGUUAGCAGAGAUUUCAUGGUUCCCGAGUUAAGACUUCUGUAUACUGUUCUGAUUCAUUUCUAAACAGACAUUGCAUGGGGGCGAGAGAUCUAGCUGAUCGACCAAAAUAAACUAACAAUUUUCAUUUCAUUGUUAAUUAUAAUUAAUAAAAUUGUAUGUUUAAUGAAAAUUUCACACUG